rnacentral:tRNA from 1 species
GAAGGUGCAGCUCAGAGGUAGAGUGCGUGCCUAGCAAGCAUGAAGUCUGGGGUUUAAUCCCCAGUAUCUCCA